GAAAUUGUCGUCCUCGGCCGACAGAAGGGCAUGAAUGAAAUCCGGCGGGAUGUCAGCGAAACGGAUAGGCGUGCGGCGCAUCUCGCCGAACUCUGCUAUCAAUUUGUUAUCACUGCUAUAAACCCGCAACGGAAUCUGCAGCUGCACGUUGCGCAGGGCGUCGACCGAAGGCAGGCUGGGGCUCAGGUACAGGUAGGCGCCACUUAAACCGAGCAGCACUCCACAAAAAAGGGUGACGCAAGUCCACCACAGAAACUUCAGCAGGCGCAUUGGCAGGUCUUGGAUUUCCAGGGAA
rnacentral:antisense_RNA from 1 species